rnacentral:lncRNA from 1 species
CCGACUGCCACCCUUCUCAGAAGCAAAGUGCCAGGCUUGAUUCCUGCAUCCGCUGCACCUCGGGGUGUGCAUGCCAAGAGAUCAUGGUGCUCCGGUGUUGGGGGUUCAGAGUCUUUGAAGGCACACCCUUAGGAUGACUAGAUAGCACUAGUUACCCCGGGGCCUGUCACCUCCUGACUCUCACAGCUUCCCAUGUGGCCGGGUUCCCCAGAGGGUUCUGGGUCGGCCUGUCAUGUCCUCCCUGUCAUGACUCCUGGAGAGCGUGUCAGAGCAUUUUGUUUCUCUCCCAUCUUGCUUAACCUCGUCUCACUGAUCUUUCUCAAGCAGUGGUUUUAAAAAUAAAGGACCGCCUCCUCUUGCUUGAAAUUCCCUUCUCCUGAAACAUCUCUGCCAUCAAUAGGGCCGGCCUCCGGGACGCCCUAGCGCUGCUACAGGCUGCUGGCAAUAACGUUGCUCUCUGCGCUGGGAAGAGGUCUGCCGCUGCUCCUGCCCCUUCACAUUCCUGUCCUGGUGUUGGGGGGUGCCUAGGCCGGGUUUGGAGGGGCCUGUAGGAGUUAAGCUGCCCCAUUUGGACUUGCUUCCUGGGUCAGUCUACCCUUUAUGUAUCCUGGAGGAGGGGCGUCUGAUGGAGGCGGGGAUGGAUCCAGAACCGAGGCUGGAGGAAGCGUCAGCUUGCAGGCAGCAGCAUCCAGCAGAAUAUCUGCUUCAGCAAGGUGACUGCUCCUGCCAGCCAGACGCCAGGGCUGGGCUUUUGGCCUGUGUUCAAGCUCGGGCUGGCGUGUGCUUGGGCCUUCAGGAUCAUUAAACCCUUCACCAAGAGAGCGCAAUGGAAGUGCUGAUUAUGAAAGCUUCUGGAAAUGGCCCAGGAGUGUAGGAGAAUGCGGAGCACAGACAAGGUUGAGAAGGGAGAAAAAAGGACCUGCUGGCCUUGGUACUGGAUCCAAACUAAUGAGAAC